ACGGAGGGGGCUAGCGUUGUUCGGAAUUACUGGGCGUAAAGCGCACGUAGGCGGCGAUUUAAGUCAGAGGUGAAAGCCCGGGGCUCAACCCCGGAACUGCCUUUGAGACUGGAUUGCUUGAACAUCGGAGAGGUGAGUGGAAUUCCCAGUGUAGAGGUGAAAUUCGUAGAUAUUGGGAAGAACACCGGUGGCGAAGGCGGCUCACUGGCUCGUUUCUGACGCUCAGGCACGAUAGCGUGGGGAUCAAACAGGA
rnacentral:rRNA from 1 species